rnacentral:rRNA from 1 species
UACGUAGGGGCAAGCGUUGUCCGGAUUUAUUGGGCGUAAAGAGCGUGUAGGCGGCUAUACAGGUCCGCUGUGAAACUCGAGGCUCAACCUCGAGACGUCGGUGGAAACCGUAUGGCUAGAGUCCGGAAGAGGAGAGUGGAAUUCCUGGUGUAGCGGUGAAAUGCGCAGAUAUCAGGAAGAACACCCGUGGCGAAGGCGGCUCUCUGGGACGGUACUGACGCUGAGACGCGAAAGCGUGGGGAGCGAACAGG